rnacentral:rRNA from 1 species
ACGCUGGCGGCAGGCCUAACACAUGCAAGUCGAGCGGUAGAGAGAAGCUUGCUUCUCUUGAGAGCGGCGGACGGGUGAGUAAUGCCUAGGAAUCUGCCUGGUAGUGGGGGAUAACGUUCGGAAACGGACGCUAAUACCGCAUACGUCCUACGGGAGGAAGCAGGGGACCUUCGGGCCUUGCGCUAUCAGAUGAGCCUAGGUCGGAUUAGCUAGUUGGUGGGGUAAUGGCUCACCAAGGCGACGAUCCGUAACUGGUCUGAGAGGAUGAUCAGUCACACUGGAACUGAGACACGGUCCAGACUCCUACGGGAGGCAGCAGUGGGGAAUAUUGGACAAUGGGCGAAAGCCUGAUCCAGCCAUGCCGCGUGUGUGAAGAAGGUCUUCGGAUUGUAAAGCACUUUAAGUUGGGAGGAAGGGCCAUUACCUAAUACGUGAUGGUUUUGACGUUACCGACAGAAUAAGCACCGGCUAACUCUGUGCCAGCAGCCGCGGUAAUACAGAGGGUGCAAGCGUUAAUCGGAAUUACUGGGCGUAAAGCGCGCGUAGGUGGUUUGUUAAGUUGGAUGUGAAAUCCCCGGGCUCAACCUGGGAACUGCAAUCAAAACUGACUGACUAGAGUAUGGUAGAGGGUGGUGGAAUUUCCUGUGUAGCGGUGAAAUGCGUAGAUAUAGGAAGGAACACCAGUGGCGAAGGCGACCACCUGGACUGAUACUGACACUGAGGUGCGAAAGCGUGGGGAGCAAACAG